rnacentral:rRNA from 1 species
UACGUAGGGUGCGAGCGUUAAUCGGAAUUACUGGGCGUAAAGCGUGCGCAGGCGGUGAUGUAAGGCCGAUGUGAAAUCCCCGGGCUUAACCUGGGAACUGCAUUGGUGACUGCAUUGCUGGAGUAUGGCAGAGGGGGGUGGAAUUCCACGUGUAGCAGUGAAAUGCGUAGAGAUGUGGAGGAACACCGAUGGCGAAGGCAGCCCCCUGGGCCAAUACUGACGCUCAUGCACGAAAGCGUGGGGAGCAAACAGG